rnacentral:rRNA from 1 species
AUGUGGUUAAUUCGAAGCAACGCGAAGAACCUUACAGGUCUUGACAUCCCGAUGCUAUUCUAGAGAUAGAAAGUUACUUCGGUACAUCGGUGACAGGUGGUGCAUGGUUGUCGUCAGCUCGUGUCGUGAGAUGUUGGGUUAAGUCCCGCAACGAGCGCAACCCUAUUGUUAGUUGCCAUCAUUCAGUUGGGCACUCUAGCGAGACUGCCGGUAAUAAACCGGAGGAAGGUGGGGAUGACGUCAAAUCAUCAUGCCCCUUAUGACCUGGGCUACACACGUGCUACAAUGGUUGGUACAACGAGUUGCGAGUCGGUGACGGCGAGCUAAUCUCUUAAAGCCAAUCUCAGUUCGGAUUGUAGGCUGCAACUCGCCUACAUGAAGUCGGAAUCGCUAGUAAUCGCGGAUCAGCACGCCGCGGUGAAUACGUUCCCGGGCCUU